rnacentral:piRNA from 1 species
AUGUCUCUGUGGCGCAAUCGGUU